AUUGAACGCUGGCGGCAUGCUUUACACAUGCAAGUCGAACGGUAACAGGCCGCAAGGUGCUGACGAGUGGCGAACGGGUGAGUAAUGCAUCGGAACGUGCCCAGUCGUGGGGGAUAACUGCUCGAAAGAGCAGCUAAUACCGCAUACGAUCUAUGGAUGAAAGCGGGUGACCGUAAGGCCUCGCGCGAUUGGAGCGGCCGAUGUCAGAUUAGGUAGUUGGUGGGGUAAAGGCUCACCAAGCCAACGAUCUGUAGCUGGUCUGAGAGGACGACCAGCCACACUGGGACUGAGACACGGCCCAGACUCCUACGGGAGGCAGCAGUGGGGAAUUUUGGACAAUGGGGGCAACCCUGAUCCAGCCAUGCCGCGUGAGUGAAGAAGGCCUUCGGGUUGUAAAGCUCUUUCGGUGGGAACGAAACGGAUGCGGUUAAUACCUGCAUUCAAUGACGGUACUCACAGAAGAAGCACCGGCUAACUACGUGCCAGCAGCCGCAGUAAUAC
rnacentral:rRNA from 1 species